UUACCAUCCAACCAUCUCCUCUCCACCUCUCCUCCUUUUCGUUCUCACACGAACAGCCGUCCAGUCAACCUGACCGCUGCGAGAGAAGUUCGAUCGGCUUAAUGCUCAUCCUCGCGCCAGGCCCUGCCCGGCUCAGGAAUGCAAGGAUAGGUCAGUCCUCUCCUCUCAUCCUCUGGCCCGGACUAUACGUGAAGCUCACCGAGCAGAACAAUAUUCCUUUCACUGCACUCAGGUCAGUUGGUUCAUAUGGAGACGGCCUGGAAUUCCCCUUACUUACUGUGGGAAUGUGCUGCUGGGUCGGACCUGUUCUGGCUCAUCUCUGCGGAAGCCAAUGAUGUUAGAUUUUAGCUAGUUUUAAAAAUAAAUAAAUGAUUAAACUUAAGGAUGUAGGACUGAUCUGAUUAAUUUGGCAGCCUGGCCCAUGAAUAUUAAUUGGGUGAUGUAAUGUUCCAACCACAGCUUUCCAUUUACGCUUUUGCUCAACUACUGAGGCUUUUCUUCAGUCUUUUUACGUGUCUGGCUAAACAAAAAUUCUUUAUGGUUUGAUCAAACAAAACAUAACGACAAGCUGUUAAACUAUGAUUAUUGCUCAAAAACGGGAUGGAGACAUCCUAGAAAUUUCAAAAAAAAAAAAAA